UGAAAUUGAUGUCAUUAGAAGCUUGUGAUGCAUAGGCUUUGAAUAUAUCCUCUGAUCAUCAAAAGCUCAAUGGAACUGGCUAGAAAGUUCAAAAAUCUGAGCUGCCCCUUCUAGCUUUCUUUUGCUGGAUCUCUUUUUUCCGACCACCAUUAUCGCUGCUACUACCCCGAAAAUGAAGCUCACACUCAAAAGAAUUAAUCGCCACCAGAAAAAGCUGUUGGCGCUGCCGGAAACGCCAUGAACAAUGUUGAAGAGCUACUGUCCUUCUUGCCGUUUUCUGUUGCCCACGCCGCUGGAGCUGCUGCCGUCGCUUCCACCAACUCGUCGUUGACAACUACUUCUCCGGCCAGCUUCACCGACUCAGGCAGCCUUCUCCCAACUUCUGCCAUUAAUGGCAACUCUACCUCCAUGUCUUUCCUCUUCUUCUUCGUCAUUUUCUCUUUCUUU
rnacentral:lncRNA from 1 species